AGUUGGGGUCAAGUGCCUAAUUUGCAUAUUCAGAAAACAGCUUCUAUCUUGAAAACUAAGACGGAUAUCAACUAACUUUGUAUUAUUGUACAGGAAGUCGGAUUUGACCUUUCAUUUGGUACCAA